rnacentral:miRNA from 1 species
GAGUGGAUAGGGGAGUGUGUGGA